UAUGGUAAUUGCCAGCAGCCGCGGUAAUACGUAUGGUGCAAGCGUUAUCCGGAUUUACUGGGUGUAAAGGGAGCGCAGGCGGAAGGCUAAGUCUGAUGUGAAAGCCCGGGGCUCAACCCCGGUACUGCAUUGGAAACUGGUCAUCUAGAGUGUCGGAGGGGUAAGUGGAAUUCCUAGUGUAGCGGUGAAAUGCGUAGAUAUUAGGAGGAACACCAGUGGCGAAGGCGGCUUACUGGACGAUAACUGACGCUGAGGCUCGAAAGCGUGGGGAGCAAACAGG
rnacentral:rRNA from 1 species